GAUGAACGCUGACAGAAUGCUUAACACAUGCAAGUCUUUGGCGAAGCUGUGCUUGCACAGCCUAGCCAAGGCGGACGGGUGAGUAACGCGUAAGGAACUUGCCCUGCAGUCAGGGAUAACAGACGGAAACGACUGAUAAGACCUGGUAAAGUCAGGCGGACUCAUGUCCAGCCUGAUGAAAAGAGAUGCUGCAGGAGAGCCUUGCGUCCUAUUAGCUUGUUGGUGGGGUAACGGCCCACCAAGGCGAUGAUAGGUAGCCGGCCUGAGAGGGUGGACGGCCACAAGGGGACUGAGAUACGGCCCUUACUCCUACGGGAGGCAGCAGUGGGGAAUAUUGGACAAUGGGGGCAACCCUGAUCCAGCAAUUCUGUGUGCACGAUGAAGGUUUUCGGAUUGUAAAGUGCUUUCAGCAGGGAAGAAAAAAAUGACGGUACGUGCAGAAGAAGCGACGGCUAAAUACGU
rnacentral:rRNA from 1 species